GCGGGAGUAGCUCAGGGGUAGAGCACUUGCUUCCCAAGCAAGAUGUCGCGGGUUCGAUUCCCGUCUCCCGCU
rnacentral:tRNA from 1 species